UACGUAGGGUCCGAGCGUUGUCCGGAAUUACUGGGCGUAAAGAGCUCGUAGGUGGUUUGUCGCGUUGUUCGUGAAAACUCACAGCUUAACUGUGGGCGUGCGGGCGAUACGGGCAGACUGGAGUACUGCAGGGGAGACUGGAAUUCCUGGUGUAGCGGUGGAAUGCGCAGAUAUCAGGAGGAACACCGGUGGCGAAGGCGGGUCUCUGGGCAGUAACUGACACUGAGGGACGAAAGCUAGGGGAGCGAAUGGG
rnacentral:rRNA from 1 species